rnacentral:rRNA from 13 species
UUAAAUUGAAGAGUUUGAUCAUGGCUCAGAUUGAACGCUGGCGGCAGGCCUAACACAUGCAAGUCGAACGGUAGCACA